rnacentral:rRNA from 1 species
CCUACGGGUGGCAGCAGUGGGGAAUAUUGGACAAUGGGCGAAAGCCUGAUCCAGCCAUGCCGCGUGUGUGAAGAAGGCCUUCGGGUUGUAAAGCACUUUCAGUGGGGAAGAAAGCCUUGGGGCUAAUACCCUCGAGGAAGGACAUCACCCACAGAAGAAGCACCGGCUAACUCCGUGCCAGCAGCCGCGGUAAUACGGAGGGUGCGAGCGUUAAUCGGAAUUACUGGGCGUAAAGCGCGCGUAGGCGGUCUGAUAAGCCGGUUGUGAAAGCCCCGGGCUCAACCUGGGAACGGCAUCCGGAACUGUCAGGCUAGAGUGCAGGAGAGGAAGGUAGAAUUCCCGGUGUAGCGGUGAAAUGCGUAGAGAUCGGGAGGAAUACCAGUGGCCAAGGCGGCCUUCUGGACUGACACUGACGCUGAGGUGCGAAAGCGUGGGUAGCAAACAGGAUUAGAUACCCGAGUAGUC